AUGCUCACCCCAGACUCUGCUGAAACAUGUCUCUACUCCCUUGCUCGGGUCAUAGAGAUCUUACCUUCAGCAGAGGAAAACGAGGUCCCCAAGGAGGACUCUGGUCCUCUGGCACCUUCAGAAGAUGCCAGCCUAUCUUGUCAAGGUUACCAUUCCUCCUCUUUCUUUUUCCUGGAAGCCUUGAUUUGGGUGGGAAAUUACAUAUGUGGUAUCUAUACCUACCACCUUCUUUGGGGGAGAGCCACAGUCCUGGGAGAGGUAACAUCUCCUCUGCUGUGGAUGCAAAUGGCCAACAAGUGGGAUGAUCCAGCUGUCUCUCUUUGCCCUGGGCUCCAAAAAUACAAUUCUAGGUCAGUAGGGGCUAGCCUGGGAUGUAUCUGUUUGCUGCUUUCCUGUAUUCUGAGACCUCAUCGAGGAGACUUUUCAGUGAAACCACAAAAUGUGCAGCUCUAAGGUGCUCAUUUCUCUGUCCUUAUGUAAAUGUGUGUGCUUGUAUCCUUGUCGUGUCAAUCCACCAUCAGGAAGCCACACAUGGAAUUAGAGAGUGGCAGGGAACAGGAAGCUGCUGAUGGUCUGGAAGUGACCCCUAUUGUAACCAGUUCAGUGCCAGAGUUCACUCUUAAAUUGUCAGAAUUCCCAGCACUCAAGCUAGGAUCCUUAGGGCCACUGAAGUUUUUUCUUACACUUUCUUCCCUUCUUCUGGUGAAUAAGUUCCCACAGAUUCAGAACGUUCCAUCCUUCCACCUCCAGAAGAAAUGUUGGUGUUUUCUGAGUAACCUAAGGGAUAAACUCUAUCUUGGCAGGCUCUCUGGGAGGAAAGAAAGACAAUAAUUUAAAACCAUGUCUUAAUUACACGACACUGAUCUCUAAAGGCUCAUUCCAUGGCAGCUCCAUCCAUUACUACCAUGAAAUUUUGCUCACUCUGUAGGAAGUAGGAGAACCUAGUUCUGGAAUCAAGGAGACUACAAUAUUGGACCCUGCACUUUAGCAUCCAAGGCAUUACCUACCUGGGGGACACUUUCUCAAUUUCUGUGUCCCCAUCACACAAUUAAAAUGAAGUCUCAUGAGAGGCUUGAGUAGGAUUUUGCAAGUGAUUUCCCAACUCCUCAUCAUCUUUGUCCUGGGUAUCCUGAAUCCCAUCUAGGCUAAAUAGUAAAAGGGACUCAAAAACACGCCUGCUGAUGAGUUAUUGAUUACUCUCUGAGAUCUUGAGCUGCUAGAAACAAGUGCCUGGUCAGAAGAUCCAGGAUACUAGUUCCCAGGCAUUAUAGCUAGGGUUCUGACUGGCAAAUUCAAUGUUGUAGCAACACUAGGAAGCCUUAGGAACUUAAUGAAGUGGUAGGAAAUGAGAAGGCAGAGGUCCUUCGAUAAUCAGAAGUGGAUCAGACAUGUAUAUCCCUGGAUCCACAGUCAACACAAGCACAUUAAACUAAUUAAAAAGACUGCCAACCCAAUUCUCCCUAUAGGGGCUUGUCUCCCACCCCCUUCACAGAAAGAAUUCCCACUAAGUGCCAGGAUUUCCAAGGAUCUUCCCAAGCAUGGCUGUGGCUCCCAGAAAAGGAAGACACAACUAUACAACUUGUUCAGUCAUCAAUCUGAAGAAAAUUUUUAAAAAAUGCACAAGGGUGAGGUGGCUUUCAGGGGACCAGGGGAAGCUGGAAAAGAGUUAGAAUUUGAGGCUGGGGAGACAGAUACUAGCUCUCCCACUUUCAGGGAGUUGGCUCCACAUCAUGGAGUUGCUUGUCCAUUUUGAGGAAAGCUUGUCCAUAACCCUCUGCUAUUUUGGAUAUAUUUUUACUUCCCAAUGUGCCAUGAAGAAUGUUGUGACACCAGGCUGGCCAUGGGGCUGGGAGAGGCGUAUGGGUGUCUAAUUCAGCUCUUUAGUAUUUUAGAGGGAACUGUGAGUACUACACAGUCCCCAUAUUGAGAGACUUAAGGACCUGCAGUGAGGAGGUCCAAGAUUCUAGUUCUGAAGCCACUUUUAUGCCAAUGGUGGCUGUUUCCCCAGAUCAUUUAUUUUCUUUUUUAAAGAAGAGGCUACAAGGCAAGAGAGUGAGUAUUUGUAACUGUCUCUGAUGAGUAUGAGUGGUCCAGACAGGAAUAAUGAUAGCCCUAAAAUGAAAUCUCUGAAAGGGGCCUUAGCCUCUUGACUCUGCCCUAGCCUUUUCUCUACUAUACCUACUCAGGGCCUUUUUCUGGUCCUAUGUUGCUAUAGGCUAGCAAAAACCCCAGAGGGCUAAUGUUUCUAUGAAGAUGGUCAUCUCUCACAACCUCUUAUCCCUUUUUCUUUUGGGGAUUUCAGAGAUUCAUGUUAGGGGAGUGAGAAGGAGGGAGGUUUUGGCUAGACUCUCAUUACCCAGAACAGUUGGCUGAUCUAAAAGUUCCCCUUUUCCCAAACCUAGCCUUCUUUAAAGGCAUUCAGAGUAGUCUAAAGGAAUGGAGUCAACACCCCUCCAUCUUUUCUCCUCACACCAGAAACAGGAUGUGGUUCAGAUAAUUUGGUUGAAUUUGUUGGCUACAUUUUAUUUUGUUUUGAAAUCUGAAAAGAGUUUUUUAUUCCCAAUUUAAAGCUUUUUUUAGCUAAUAGGACCAUGAGAGAAAGGAAGCAAAUCAAAAGAUUUCCUCCAAGUAAAGAACUUCUAGCUAGGAGAUAGAAAGAUAUUCUUAGUCCUUCCAUUAAGCACCAGCUUGCUUUUUGAGCACUGGUGCUAACCAAGGGUCUGGAAAAAAGCUUUGAAGCCCUGAGAAUGGUGAACUUGGCAAAUUGCACUGAAAACACCUUUUUCUUUCCCAGAAGGCACAUGACAUGCCCUUGGGCCACCUCCCUUCCCUUGGGAGCUUCCUACUUCACUGCCACCUCUCUGAGGCUAGGGGGAAGGGAGUGAUUGGAUUAGAGUUCCCAGAAUCCCCAGCCAGUCUCUUGGGCUACUGCUGCGCAGUGGCUCCUCAUUUCCCAGUGUUAGCUUUUUUCUAGAACAAGAUAAAAACUUUUUUUAAUAAAUCCACCCUCCCACUAUACCCUAUCCUGUUU
rnacentral:lncRNA from 1 species